GGAUGAAGAACGUAGCGAAAUGCGAUAAGUAAUGUGAAUUGCAGAAUUCAGUGAAUCAUCGAAUCUUUGAACGCACAUUGCGCCCGCCAGUAUUCUGGCGGGCAUGCCUGUUCGAGCGUCAUUUCAACCAUCAAGCCCCCGGCUUGUGUUGGGGACCUGCGGCUGCCCGCAGGCCCUGAAAACCAGUGGCGGUCUCGCUGUCACACCGAGCGUAGUAAGCAUUAUCUCGCUCAGGGCGUGCUGCGGGUUCCGGCCGUUAAAUGAAAAGCCUUCGUAGCCCAAGGUUGACCUCGGAUCAGGUAGGAAGACCCGCUGAACUUAAGCAUAUCAAUAAGCGGAGGA
rnacentral:misc_RNA from 1 species